rnacentral:rRNA from 1 species
CAGCCGCCGCGGGAAUACAGAGGAUGCAAGCGUUAUCCGGAAUGAUUGGGCGUAAAGCGUCUGUAGGUGGCUUUUCAAGUCCGCCGUCAAAUCCCAGGGCUCAACCCUGGACAGGCGGUGGAAACUACCAAGCUGGAGUAUGGCAGAGGGGGGUGGAAUUCCACGUGUAGCAGUGAAAUGCGUAGAGAUGUGGAGGAACACCGAUGGCGAAGGCAGCCCCCUGGGAAAGUACUGACGCUCAUGUGCGAAAGCGUGGGGAGCAAACAGGAUUAGAUACCCGGGUAGUCCCUGUCUCUUAUAC